rnacentral:rRNA from 1 species
CAGUAGCCGCGGGAAAACAGAGGGUGCAAGCGUUAAUCGGAAUUACUGGGCGUAAAGCGCGCGUAGGUGGUUUGUUAAGUUGAAUGUGAAAUCCCCGGGCUCAACCUGGGAACUGCAUCCAAAACUGGCAAGCUAGAGUAGGGCAGAGGGUGGUGGAAUUUCCUGUGUAGCGGUGAAAUGCGUAGAUAUAGGAAGGAACACCAGUGGCGAAGGCGACCACCUGGGCUCAUACUGACACUGAGGUGCGAAAGCGUGGGGAGCAAACAGGAUUAGAUACCCGUGUAGUCCCUGUCUCUUAUAA